GGUGGUAUACAGCUCAGUGGUAGAGUGUGUGCUUGGCAUGCAUGAGGUCCUGGGUUCAAUCCCCAGUGCCUCCG
rnacentral:tRNA from 1 species